AUUGAACGCUGGCGGCAGGCCUAACACAUGCAAGUCGAACGGUAACAGGGAUCAGCUUGCUGAUUCGCUGACGAGUGGCGGACGGGUGAGUAAUGUCUGGGAAACUGCCUGAUGGAGGGGGAUAACUACUGGAAACGGUAGCUAAUACCGCAUAACGUCGCAAGACCAAAGAGGGGGACCUUCGGGCCUCUUGCCAUCGGAUGUGCCCAGGUGGGAUUAGCUAGUAGGUGGGGUAACGGCUCACCUAGGCGACGAUCCCUAGCUGGUCUGAGAGGAUGACCAGCCACACUGGAACUGAGACACGGUCCAGACUCCUACGGGAGGCAGCAGUGGGGAAUAUUGCACAAUGGGCGCAAGCCUGAUGCAGCCAUGCCGCGUGUAUGAAGAAGGCCUUCGGGUUGUAAAGUACUUUCAGCGGGGAGGAAGGGAGUAAAGUUAAUACCUUUGCUCAUUGACGUUACCCGCAGAAGAAGCACCGGCUAACUCCGUG
rnacentral:rRNA from 1 species